CUACGUGCCAGCAGCCGCGGUAAUACGUAGGUGGCAAGCGUUGUCCGGAAUUAUUGGGCGUAAAGCGCGCGCAGGCGGAUUGGUCAGUCUGUCUUAAAAGUUCGGGGCUUAACUCCGUGAUGGGAUGGAAACUACCAAUCUAGAGUAUCGGAGAGGAAAGUGGAAUUCCUAGUGUAGCGGUGAAAUGCGUAGAUAUUAGGAAGAACACCAGUGGCGAAGGCGACUUUCUGGACGAAAACUGACGCUGAGGCGCGAAAGCCAGGGGAGCGAACGGGAUUAGAUACCCCGGUAGUCCUGGCCGUAAACGAUGGGUACUAGGUGUAGGAGGUAUCGACCCCUUCUGUGCCGGAGUUAACGCAAUAAGUACCCCGCCUGGGGAGUACGACCGCAAGGUUGAAACUCAAAGGAAUUGACGGGGGCCCGCACAAGCGGUGGAGUAUGUGGUUUAAUUCGACGCAACGCGAAGAACCUUACCAGGUCUUGACAU
rnacentral:rRNA from 1 species